rnacentral:rRNA from 1 species
GAUGAACGCUAGCGGCAGGCCUAAUACAUGCAAGUCGAGGGGUAACAUGAGAGCUUGCUCUUGAUGACGACCGGCGCACGGGUGCGUAACGCGUAUGCAACCUACCCACAACUGGAGCAUAGCCCGGAGAAAUCCGGAUUAAUACUCCAUAAUGCAGGGGUACCUCCUGGUACUAUUUGCUAAAGAUUUAUCGGUUGUGGAUGGGCAUGCGUCUGAUUAGUUUGUUGGUGAGGUAACGGCUCACCAAGACCACGAUCAGUAGGGGGUCUGAGAGGAUGAUCCCCCACACUGGCACUGAGAUACGGGCCAGACUCCUACGGGAGGCAGCAGUAGGGAAUAUUGGGCAAUGGGCGAAAGCCUGACCCAGCCAUGCCGCGUGAAGGAUGAAGGCCUUCUGGGUUGUAAACUUCUUUUAUACAGGAAGAAAAAGGUCAUGCGUGACCAAUUGACGGUACUGUAUGAAUAAGCACCGGCUAACUCCGUGCCAGCAGCCGCGGUAAUACGGAGGGUGCAAGCGUUGUCCGGAUUUAUUGGGUUUAAAGGGUGCGUAGGCGGUCUGUUAAGUCAGUGGUGAAAUCCAGCAGCUCAACUGCUGAACUGCCAUUGAUACUGACAGAC